rnacentral:rRNA from 1 species
ACGCUCGACACCUACGGGAGGCAGCAGUGAGGAAUAUUGGUCAAUGGGCGCAGGCCUGAACCAGCCAAGUAGCGUGAAGGAUGACUGCCCUAUGGGUUGUAAACUUCUUUUAUAUGGGAAUAAAGUUUUCCACGUGUGGAAUUUUGUAUGUACCAUAUGAAUAAGGAUCGGCUAACUCCGUGCCAGCAGCCGGGGUAAUCUGAGCGGGCUGGCAAGGC